UCUAGGUCUUGAUCUUGAUCUUGUUCUUGGUCCUGCAUCACAAGCUGAGGACAUCACCCGUUAAGAAGUCAACUCAUGACAGGGUUUCCAUAUAGUCCAUGGAAGCUGUAUACAGUCAUCAUCCAGUGACCAACCUGCGGUGGGAACACAUAGUCGGCCACAUCCCAGACCGUUCCCGAAUGCUCCCCCUCUUUGGUGUAGCCUACUCCUUUCACUUUGGUGAAGACAGAGCUGACUCCAUAUUCUUUGGACUGGUAGCCUUUCUCAUACAUGAACACCCACCUGUACAGGUACAGGUGUACAAUCGGGCAGGCCAUUCCGAACAAGCUCAUAAUUUCUGGACAAAGCAAAGUUUUGUAUGAAAGUCUUACCCGAUGAUGUAAGCAAAGACUCCCACCUGGACGAGGCGACACACUAUACCUACUUUUUUAUUCCUGACCACCACUUGGCGUGGGGUCUCAUAC